rnacentral:rRNA from 1 species
CCUUUGACAACUCUAGAGAUAGAGCCUUCCCCUUCGGGGGACAAAGUGACAGGUGGUGCAUGGUUGUCGUCAGCUCGUGUCGUGAGAUGUUGGGUUAAGUCCCGCAACGAGCGCAACCCUUAAGCUUAGUUGCCAUCAUUAAGUUGGGCACUCUAAGUUGACUGCCGGUGACAAACCGGAGGAAGGUGGGGAUGACGUCAAAUCAUCAUGCCCCUUAUGAUUUGGGCUACACACGUGCUACAAUGGACAAUACAAAGGGCAGCGAAACCGCGAGGUCAAGCAAAUCCCAUAAAGUUGUUCUCAGUUCGGAUUGUAGUCUGCAACUCGACUACAUGAAGCUGGAAUCGCUAGUAAUCGUAGAUCAGCAUGCUACGGUGAAUACGUUCCCGGGUCUUGUACACACCGCCCGUCACACCACGAGAGUUUGUAACACCCGAAGCCGGUGGAGUAACCUUUUAGGAGCUAGCCGUCGAAGGUGGGACAAAUGAUUGGGGUGAAGUCGUAACAAGGUAGCCGUAUCGGAAGGUGCGGCUGGAUCACCUCCUUU